GGUGUACCAGUUGUCGUGCCAACGGCAUAGCUGGGUAGCUAUGUGUGGACGGGAUAAGUGCUGAAAGCAUCUAAGCAUGAAGCCCCCCCUCAAGAUGAGAUUUCCCAACUUCGGUUAUAAGAUCCCUCAAAGAUGAUGAGGUUAAUAGGUUCGAGGUGGAAGCAUGGUGACAUGUGGAGCUGACGAAUACUAAUCGAUCGAAGACUUAA
rnacentral:rRNA from 1 species